rnacentral:rRNA from 1 species
UAAAAUGUAAAAUUAUUUUAUUAAAUUAUUAUAAGUUAUGAUCUUUAAAGUUAAAAAAUUUGGCGGUAUUUUAGUCUUUUCAGAGGAACCUGUCCUAUAAUUGAUAAUCCACGAUUAGAACUACUUAUUUUAAAAAUUUGUAUAUCGUUGUAAUUGAAUAUUUUAAAAGAAUAUUUAAUAUUCAAAAUUUUUUAUAAAAAUAUAAAUCAGAUCAUGGUGCAGUUUAUAAUUAAGAAGAGAUGGGUUACAAUAAAGUUAUUUAUGGUUUUUUAAUUUAAAAAUUAAAAAUAAAUUGGAUUUGAAGGUAAUUUAGUUAAUUUAAAUUAAAUGAUUUUAGCUCUAAAAUAUGC